GAGCUAAGCAGAACCGACGCGGGGUCCUGCGCCCUGCGUAGAAGCGCCUGCCAAUGCUUUUAUCUUUGGCACCCAGACGCUAAUUUGGGAGAAGUCUUAUAGCUGAUCACCUAGGAAGAGAAGUUCUAAAGCAAUAAGAAGAAAGCAUUUCAAUUUGGGACACUUACUGCAGCUGGAAAUGGGGAAUGGACUGUCAGACCAGACUUCUAUCCUGUCCAGCUUGCCUUCAUUUCAAAAUCCUUCCACAUUGUUAUUUUGGGUUUGGACUGUGCUGGAAAGACAACUGUUUUACAUAGGCUGCAGUUCAAUGAAUUUGUAAAUACUGUACCUACCAAAGGAUUUAACACUGAGAAAAUUAAGGUAACCUUAGGAAAUUCUAAAACAGUCACUUUUCACUUCUGGGAUGUAAGUGGUCAGGAGAAAUUAAGGCAACUGUGGAAGUCAUAUACCAGAUGCACAGAUGGCAUUGUGUUUGUUGUGGACUCUGUUGAUGUCGAGAGGAUGGAAGAAGCCAAAACUGAACUUCAUAAAAUAACUAGGAUAUCAGAAAAUCAGGGAGUCCCUGUACUUAUAGUUGCUAACAAACAAGACUUGAGAAACUCGUUGUCUCUUUCAGAAAUUGAGAAAUUGUUACCAAUGGGUGAACUGAGUUCAUCAACUCCUUGGCAUUUGCAGCCUUACCUGUGCAAUCAGAGGAGAUGGACUAAAGGAAGGACUUGAGAAACUACAUGAUAUGAUAAUUAAAAGAAGAAAAAUGUUGUGACAACAGAAAAAGAAAAGAUGAAUAUCAGCCUUUUAUACCUGUGGAGUAGGUUUUUUCUGGUUUGAUUUUGACAAAUUGAAGAGUGUCUACAGUCUGGUUUGCCUGUCUGCCCUCCUGGAUGCUAUUAAAGCUUUGUUUUGUUGAACAAUCAGAUGCUCAACUCUGUUGCCUUGGGGAAGAUGAGUAAACGCAGUGCUUCUUAAAGUGGUCUUUUCUCCCUGACCUGCAAAUCUUUUGGUACUACCAUUUUGGGAAGCCAAGCAAGGAUAAUAAAUUGACCAGAACACAGUUGUGGAAAUUUGACCUGAAGUUAGUGAAAUAAAACUUUGGAGA